rnacentral:rRNA from 1 species
AGAGUUUGAUCAUGGCUCAGGAUGAACGCUAGCUACAGGCUUAACACAUGCAAGUCGAGGGGAAACGACAUCGAAAGCUUGCUUUUGAUGGGCGUCGACCGGCGCACGGGUGAGUAACGCGUAUCCAACCUGCCCACCACUUGGGGAUAACCUUGCGAAAGUAAGACUAAUACCCAAUGACGUCUCUAGAAGACAUCUGAAAGAGAUUAAAGAUUUAUCGGUGAUGGAUGGGGAUGCGUCUGAUUAGCUUGUUGGCGGGUAACGGCCACCAAGGCGACGAUCAGUAGGGGUUCUGAGAGGAAGGUCCCCCANAUUGGAACUGAGACACGGUCCAAAACUCCAACGGGAGCA